rnacentral:pre_miRNA from 1 species
AUGCCGCGUGCAGUAUUGCACUUCAGGAAGUACCAUCCAUGUGAAUAGAAAUAUGAUUGGUACUUCUUAGAGUGAAGUAAUGCAUAGCAAAUAC